rnacentral:rRNA from 1 species
UACGUAGGGCGCAAGCGUUGUCCGGAAUUAUUGGGCGUAAAGAGCUCGUAGGCGGCUUGUCACGUCGGGUGUGAAAACUCGGGGCUUAACCCCGAGCCUGCAGUGGAUACGGGCAGACUAGAGGUAGGUAGGGGAGAAUGGAAUUCCCGGUGUAGCGGUGAAAUGCGCAGAUAUCGGGAGGAACACCGGUGGCGAAGGCGGUUCUCUGGGCCUUACCUGACGCUGAGGAGCGAAAGCGUGGGGAGCGAACAGG